AAGAAGCCGAUAAAAAAAUGGGUCUCUCAAUUGAAUUUACACUACAACUGAAUUGGGCUCUUCUGUUUUCGCGAUUCCUGUAGAUACUUCGGGCCUUUUUAUUUUAGACGUUGUCCUCAUCAGUGCAAGUUUUGGAAUUUUGGCGAUUUCUUGAUUAACGCACAGCCGUACUAACUUGGGUUAAACUGUCGUGAUGGACCUUUAUUCCGGUGUUCAUUCUAUUAAGGCACAUUAGUAAAUAUUUGUUGCUCGCAAGGGUACUGUGACUGUUUGUUAUCUCAUCUUUAAAAGAUUCAAGGCCAUCGGGCGAUAUGUCAUUGAUUUUAUAUUCUCAUGACAGAAACUAGAAACCUUUUACAGGACAACCAUGAGUCCUUCACUUCGGUACCAAAGAUUCUUCGAGCAUAAUGGAGCUUCUGCGGUUCAUGCAAGGGCAAAAAUAAUUUGUUGCUAGCUGCCCUCUUUCGUUGUCCGUCCGAUCAAGAUUAAGUCGCAAUGAUCAUGAUUUAGGUUUCAUGCCGUGGGAGGUGAUCUCCAGUGUUACGAAUAACUAAUGGUAGUGCAUCUUAAGCUUGAUACUGCAAGUAAACCAACGCCAGUCUGCUGACAAUGAAGUAAUAUAUUUAGAAUAGUUGAUGCUCAUAAGCUAUUUAAUUGUUCUUCUGUAGUGUCAUUCCCCAAUUGUCAAUAGUAACAUACCUGCCUCUUUCUCCGUAGCUAAAUAUCUUCUUGAUAAACCUGCAGUCAAAGCCCCGGUAGAUCCAAGAGCUAAAAAUCUGCAGGCAAAGCUCGGGUAUAGGUUUCUUCUGGUCAUGUAUAUUGUGAUGCAUAUUGGGACUACUUUAUUUCUACCCUGAUGUAUCAAGCAUGUAUCGCUGAUGUUAUGAUUGGCUAAAUUUGAAAUGGUGAUGGCCCUAGACUGGGAUGCUUUA